CGCUAGCUACAGGCUUAACACAUGCAAGUCGAGGGGCAGCAUUUCAGUUUGCUUGCAAACUGGAGAUGGCGACCGGCGCACGGGUGAGUAACACGUAUCCAACCUGCCGAUAACUCGGGGAUAGCCUUUCGAAAGAAAGAUUAAUACCCGAUGGUAUAAUCAGACCGCAUGGUCUUGUUAUUAAAGAAUUUCGGUUAUCGAUGGGGAUGCGUUCCAUUAGGCAGUUGGUGAGGUAACGGCUCACCUAACCUUCGAUGGAUAGGGGUUCUGAGAGGAAGGUCCCCCACAUUGGAACUGAGACACGGUCCAAACUCCUACGGGAGGCAGCAGUGAGGAAUAUUGGUCAAUGGGCGCAGGCCUGAACCAGCCAAGUAGCGUGAAGGAUGACUGCCCUAUGGGUUGUAAACUUCUUUUAUAUGGGAAUAAAGUUUUCCACGUGUGGAAUUUUGUAUGUACCAUAUGAAUAAGGAUCGGCUAACUCCGUGCCAGCAGCCGCGGUAAUACGGAGGAUCCGAGCGUUAUCCGGAUUUAUUGGGUUUAAAGGGAGCGUAGGUGGACAGUUAAGUCAGUUGUGAAAGUUUGCGGCUCAACCGUAAAAUUGCAGUUGAUACUGGCUGUCUUGAGUACAGUAGAGGUGGGCGGAAUUCGUGGUGUAGCGGUGAAAUGCUUAAAUAUCACGAAGAACUCCGAUUGCGAAGGCAGCUCACUGGACUGCAACUGACACUGAUGCUCGAAAGUGUGGGUAUCAAACAGGAUUAGAUACCCUGGUAGUCCACACAGUAAACGAUGAAUACUCGCUGUUUGCGAUUAUACAGUAAGGCGGCCAAGCGAAAGCAUUAAGUAUUCCACCUGGGGAGUACGCCGGCAACGGUGAAACUUCAAAGGAAUUGACGGGGGCCCGCACAAGCGGAGGAACAUGUGGUUUAAUUCGAUGAUACGCGAGGAACCUUACCCGGGCUUAAAUUGCAUUUGAAUAUAUUGGAAACAGUAUAGCCGUAAGGCAAAUGUGAAGGUGCUGCAUGGUUGUCGUCAGCUCGUGCCGUGAGGUGUCGGCUUAAGUGCCAUAACGAGCGCAACCCUUAUCUUUAGUUACUAACAGGUCAUGCUGAGGACUCUAGAGAGACUGCCGUCGUAAGAUGUGAGGAAGGUGGGGAUGACGUCAAAUCAGCACGGCCCUUACGUCCGGGGCUACACACGUGUUACAAUGGGGGGUACAGAAGGCAGCUACCUGGUGACAGGAUGCUAAUCCCAAAAGCCUCUCUCAGUUCGGAUCGAAGUCUGCAACCCGACUUCGUGAAGCUGGAUUCGCUAGUAAUCGCGCAUCAGCCAUGGCGCGGUGAAUACGUUCCCGGGCCUUGUACACACCGCCCGUCAAGCCAUGAAAGCCGGGGGUACCUGAAGUACGUAACCGCAAGGAGCGUCCUAGGGUAAAACUGGUAAUAGGGGC
rnacentral:rRNA from 1 species